AUUGAACGCUGGCGGCAGGCUUAACACAUGCAAGUCGAGCGGAGCGAGGGUGCUUGCACCUUAGCUUAGCGGCGGACGGGUGAGUAAUGCUUAGGAAUCUGCCUAUUAGUGGGGGACAACAUUCCGAAAGGAAUGCUAAUACCGCCUACGCCCUACGGGGGAAAGCAGGGGAUCUUCGGACCUUGCGCUAAUAGAUGAGCCUAAGUCGGAUUAGCUAGUUGGUGGGGUAGAGGCCUACCAAGGCGACGAUCUGUAGCGGGUCUGAGAGGAUGAUCCGCCACACUGGGACUGAGACACGGCCCAGACCCCUACGGGAGGCAGCAGUGGGGAAUAUUGGACAAUGGGCGGAAGCCUGAUCCAGCCAUGCCGCGUGUGUGAAGAAGGCCUUUUGGUUGUAAAGCACUUUAAGCGAGGAGGAGGCUACUUAGAUUAAUACUCUGGGAUAGUGGACGUUACUCGCAGAAUAAGCACCGGCUAACCCUGUGCCAGCCGCCGCAGUAA
rnacentral:rRNA from 1 species